CUGCCUUUCUCUUCGGCUCAAAGCCCUUGCAAUCGUAAAUCUCCAUCCACUUCAAGCUCUUCGUGGUCACCUGUGGAAGGUCUGUUCGGCCCUAAUCUCAUCAUUCCUCUUCUCCUCACCGUCUUUGCGUUGAGCUCGUGGCGCCGCCGUCGCAAAGGGUUCCUCUUCUCCUUUUCUCCUCUCAAGGUUCCUCUCCUCUUCGAUCUCUCUCUCUGUCUGAGCUCAUCGUCCCUCUUCGAGCUCUCUCUCAUUCUCUUUGUCCGAGUCCCGUUCCUCCGUCGCCGUCACUUCCCUUCCUCCUUCGCGUCCAUUUCAAUACAUUAAUCAAUGGAAGAGCUUAGUGGCAUCAAAUAAUGGAGAGAGGCAUGAGGAUAUAAUCGUUGUAGUAGGGAUGAAAAAAGUGAUAUGUGAGUCUCAAUCUCAAAGCUAAGGAAGGAGUGGGUGCAAAAAGUAUUAAACAAGAAAAGUUAAGAGGAACAGGGACAAUGGAGGGAUAUAACAAAGGGAAGCACAAAAUGGAUAGGAUUGACGGAAAAAGAGGGGGUGCAGCCACAAUAUGCAUGGAGUUAUUUUAAUACGGAAAAUUUUGUCAUGUGUUUUAAGUUUUGUUGAUUGUUAUGAGGAUUACUUUUGGUGUGUUUUAGUUGUUGGGUUUUAGGAUAUUUUUUUGUGUGUGAUUUUGUUUUCUUUAUGAUUUUUUAUUAUUCUUCAUGGGGACGCGGAAGGAAGUGAUUGAUAAAUCAUACACAUUGUCUCUCUUA